rfam:Bat coronavirus HKT9-2, complete genome.
GGUUGGCCAGAAGUGAUUUAUCAGUGCUUAGAAGAGUAAGGCGCAGUGCAUGUCACUGUGUCCACUCUUAUACAGAAUGGAAUCCUAGUGUACAGCGGUAUAAGUAAGUUGUGCAUUCGCUAUGUUUAGGUUUAGAAUGUAGUUUAGUGCUAGCUGGUUAGAGUAUGUUAAAGACUUUAAAGCGCCUUAGGGAAGAGCUAAUCAGUAAUACACUAUUCAAAAUUUUAAGCAACCCCUAAUCAUAGUAUGCUUUAUAGAGGAUUUGC